GACGAACGCUGGCGGCGUGCUUAACACAUGCAAGUCGAACGCUGAAGCCUAGCUUUUGUUGGGUGGAUGAGUGGCGAACGGGUGAGUAACACGUGAGUAACCUGCCCCCUUCUUUGGGAUAACGCCCGGAAACGGGUGCUAAUACUGGAUACUCACUGAUCUUCGCAUGGGGGUUGGUGGAAAGGUUUUUUCUGGUGGGGGAUGGGCUCGCGGCCUAUCAGCUUGUUGGUGGGGUGAUGGCCUACCAAGGCUUUGACGGGUAGCCGGCCUGAGAGGGUGACCGGUCACAUUGGGACUGAGAUACGGCCCAGACUCCUACGGGAGGCAGCAGUGGGGAAUAUUGCACAAUGGGCGAAAGCCUGAUGCAGCGACGCCGCGUGAGGGAUGGAGGCCUUCGGGUUGUAAACCUCUUUCGCUCAUGGUCAAGCCGCAACAUUGGUUGUGGUGAGGGUAGUGGGUAAAGAAGCGCCGGCUAACUACGUGCCAGCAGCCGCGGUAAUACGUAGGGCGCGAGCGUUGUCCGGAAUUAUUGGGCGUAAAGGGCUUGUAGGCGGUUGGUCGCGUCUGCCGUGAAAUCCUCUGGCUUAACUGGGGGCGUGCGGUGGGUACGGGCUGACUUGAGUGCGGUAGGGGAGACUGGAACUCCUGGUGUAGCGGUGGAAUGCGCAGAUAUCAGGAAGAACACCGGUGGCGAAGGCGGGUCUCUGGGCCGUUACUGACGCUGAGGAGCGAAAGCGUGGGGAGCGAACAGG
rnacentral:rRNA from 1 species